UACGUAGGGUGCGAGCGUUAAUCGGAAUUACUGGGCGUAAAGCGUGCGCAGGCGGUUUUGUAAGCCAGAUGUGAAAUCCCUGGGCUUAACCUGGGAAUGGCAUUUGGGACUGCAAGGCUCGAGUGCGGCAGAGGAGACUGGAAUUCCUGGUGUAGCAGUGAAAUGCGUAGAUAUCAGGAGGAACACCGAUGGCGAAGGCAGGUCUCUGGGAAACAACUGACGCUGAGGAACGAAAGCGUGGGUAGCAAACAGG
rnacentral:rRNA from 1 species